GCGGCGGACGGGUGAGUAACACGUGGGUAACCUGCCUGUAAGACUGGGAUAACUCCGGGAAACCGGGGCUAAUACCGGAUGGUUGUUUGAACCGCAUGGUUCAAACAUAAAAGGUGGCUUCGGCUACCACUUACAGAUGGACCCGCGGCGCAUUAGCUAGUUGGUGAGGUAACGGCUCACCAAGGCAACGAUGCGUAGCCGACCUGAGAGGGUGAUCGGCCACACUGGGACUGAGACACGGCCCAGACUCCUACGGGAGGCAGCAGUAGGGAAUCUUCCGCAAUGGACGAAAGUCUGACGGAGCAACGCCGCGUGAGUGAUGAAGGUUUUCGGAUCGUAAAGACUCUGUUGUUAGGGAAGAACCAAGUACCGUUCGAAUAGGGCGGUACCUUGACGGUACCUAACCAGAAAGCCACGGCUAACUACGUGCCAGCAGCCGCGGUAAUAC
rnacentral:rRNA from 1 species